UCUCCGUUGGUGAACCAGCGGAGGGAUCAUUACAGGACUCGCAAGACUCCUUCACCCUGUGAACCUCACUACAAGCACGUUGCUUCGGCGGGUGUCCCGGCGGGGGUUUUCCCUCGCCGGGGCGCACAGCCCGCCGGCAGCCUACUAUACUCUGUCUCUUUGCGUUGGCAUCUCGAGAAAAAACAAACAAGUUAAAACUUUCAACAACGGAUCUCUUGGUUCU
rnacentral:misc_RNA from 1 species